AAGCACUGCCUUUGAACCAGGAUACGGCCUCAUUCGUGGCCUCUCUGGCUACGCUGCAGUGCAAAAGUAAAGCAAACUUGUUUAUAACUGGUUCUGCUCAGCUGAAACCUGAGUGGUUCUUUUAAGGGCAAGUUACAUGU